UCCCGUUUAGCUCAGCUGGUAGAGCGCGUCACUAGUAGCCUGGCAUGUCCAGCCCGCAUGACGAGGUCAGUCGUUCAAGUCGGCUAAUGGGAA